rnacentral:lncRNA from 1 species
AUGAGACCUAACUACUGCCUGACCAUCUUUCAACUGUCCAUCUUGGCAAGACUCAGUGCAGGUGAAGAUUCAAAAUGUGAGGUUCAAAUUAAAGUGCGUCGCCACACGGUAUAUAACGUUUUCCAUGGACAGGACCUAACAGUUACCUGCCCAGUUGCUUUAUGCAACAGUUCACCACCAACAGUCUCCUGGUAUAAAAUGGAAAAAACUGACAUCCUUGUCAGUGCCAACAGCAGCAGUCACAUUAAAGUAGAGUGGGAAGAUUUAGGGCAUUUAGACGGACAAUCACUUUUAAUCUUCAAAAAAAUACACAGAAGUGACUCAGGUGUGUAUCGGUGUGGAACUGAGAGACAAGUGAGUCAUAACAUCAACGUCUCUGUAAAUGGCCAUGUUGAGACCACCACAGUUUCAUGGACAACUCUGGCGAACCCAAAACCCCCCAACACAUUAUGGCCAUUUGUGUUUCGUGCUUUUGGAAUAAAGCUGUUUUUCGUCGUAAUCAUAACUUUACACCUGUGUCUUAAAACAAAGCAAAAAUGCAAAGGUGCUUGUCGUCUGGACAAAUGCAGGAACACAUCAGAUCCGAGCCAACAACUUUCCCAUGGUGCCUCGCAUUCCAUUCAUAUCUAUGACAAUGAUCUGUAACGACUAAUGCCUUAAAACAAUCUUAAAUAUUUAAAUGUUGUGAUAUUAAGCUAUGAUUACUAUCAACACCUCAUAUUACCCAUUUCAACACUGUAACCCAUAUCUGAUAGCAUUUUACUCUGUGUGAAAUGAGUCAGACAUAAUCGUCUGCUUUGUUUAUUGUCAUGAAUAACGGUGACUCUUACUGCUGACUGAAUUCCUGUAAGUCGAGUUAAAAUAAAAGUGAAAUUUCUUACAUGAGAAACCACUGUCUACCAGGGCUGAGUGUGUGCGUGUGCACAGUGUAACACGUUUAUAGGUAAAUAGUUUUGUUUCCUGUACAGGUAUCAAUCUUGCACACAUCCGGUUCAAAUACUUCUUUUAAAUGUUAAUGUGUAUAUUGGCUUGUGUGUGUGUUUACACCUUCUUUAUGAUCAGUUGACAUUGAGUGAAGACCAUUUUCUUCUUGGGUACAGUAUCUGGUGUGCAUUUGGGAACAGACAGACCGACGAACAGGAAGCAGAAUUAAACCACAUGUCACACAGCAUAUAAAAACAAAGCCAUGGAAGAUAUAAAUCACAAUUUAAAAGGAUCCUACGCAUUGCUCAUCAUCUCCAGCUCAGACUGACAAAGGAAUGAUGUCUCACUCUACAAAAGUUGACUGUGUUUUCCUCAUAUAUCCAAUGUGCAUUCCAUGUGAAUAACUAGAUAAAUGAAACAAAAAGUUAAAUAUGGAGUAGCUAAUUUAUUAAUUUAUUAGAUUUUUUAAAAUUAAGGGUCUGUGAGGCUGCACUUGGUGCAAAAUGGUUAUACUGGUGGUGGGAAGCUAAAUGUAAAAAUAUCCUAAAAUCACCAUAACAUUUAAAAAUCAAAACUAAACACAAACUAGCACUACACUGAGGAUGACAGGAAUGUCAUUUGGUUUGCAGGUAUUUGUUCGAAAACUGGACACACAACGUUUUCCUAAAGAAAAGUCACAAAAGCUUCAACUUUGUGGGGAAUUUGCCCAAGAGAUAUGGGAACAUUGAUGCAAAACUACAAGGUGGCACUACUGGAGACAAGCAGUCGUCUUCUGGGACCCAUCAAUAUCUGUAGGAUUUUUGCCAAACAUUGGAUUACAAUUUGAGAUAUUUAGUGUGACCUGGUGGUACAAAAUGAAAAGUCAGGGAAUCACCAACGUUGGUGUAAUUCUUACUUUGGGGCUGCAUAUCUGUACAAAGUUGGCAACAAAAGGAGAUUGUUGUCUAUGACUGUACACCGAGUUUGGUUAAGUAAUCUUUAAUCUUUAUCUUAUGUUGUUGCAGGGUGAGCUGCACCACCUAAACAUUUUCCAUUCUGUGAUUUCAUCCUUGAUGUCUAAACACUAGUGUAAACCUCAACAUAUCUGUCACAUGUAAUAUGAGUCACCCUUAAAUUAUAGGUGUUGAAGCGUUUGGGGAAAAACCUUUUUAUUGUUCCAUUUUAGCUCAUUACCAAAUCACCUAUCUCCCACCUGACAUUCAGGAAACGAACCCCUUUCAGUUCAUGAUAGAAACUACAUGCAGUAUCAGUAAAAAGUGAACUAAAAGUCUCAAUAUCCUUUAUUCUAAAGGUCUCAUAACCUGCAAUAGGAGCUACUUUCAAAAUGGCCUCAUAACAUAUAUCAAAGUAUUAAAUACGAAAUGUAAACAAGAAAUGCAAUAUUACAAAAUUUUGAGUAAAACUCUGGGGCGGGUUGCACAGUGCAGGGCUGCAUGGAGCAGCGUGGCCCGUGGGAUGUGUUACCCCUGUGGUUUUGAAAGUGUUAAAAAAUCAACGUAUACCUCUGCAUUGCCUACACAACCUGGCUCAGGCAGUCACACAUACACAUAUGUACUCACUUUAAAUAAAUACCCCUCCCUACAUGCCCACCAACCACAGGCUCCUUUGGCCCCUUUGCAGAUAUAAACAAGUUGUAAACUGUUGUGCAUGGGUCUGUUGUCAGCUGUUAUUAAACAUCCAAUAUUUGUGCCAGUUUCAUCAUUUUGUUUUGACGGUACACUGGAACUGGAGAAAAUGUUAGCAAAAUUAGGAAUUAAUUCCUGAUGGGACUUGGAAAUAUCAAGAACUGCCAUUUUAAAGCAAGGUCACCAUCUAGUGGUAAACCCACAAUCCUGCACUGAAAAGAAAUAAGUCAGUGGUUAUGUUGAUGUUAAAAACAUCAAAGAAAAUCCUUAUGAAAAGGUGAGCAAUUUCUUAUUAGUCCAAUUCCUAACUGGACUAAUUCUGUUUAAAAGCCACAGAACUGCCAAAACAUAAACACAUGAUUUUAUUGUGAAGGUUAGCUCAGUUUCCUCCAGAUAACCCUCUAUGUUCUAAUAAUUGUCAAAUUAUUAGCUAUUAUCAGUUAUAAAAAUAAAUCUGCUAUUCUAAACAUCUCCCUUUCUCUUUCCAGUCUUUGUGAGGUCAGUGGAAACUGUAAAAUUAUUCCUGUUACUGUAGAGGAAUAGGUGAACAAUUCAACGGUCCUCUUCAGACUGUAGAGCUGAUCUGAGUUCAUUUGAAUCGAUUUAGAGCUUUAAAUAUAUGCAUGAAGUUAGUCAUAAAUAAUUUUUAAAAAGGCACAAAGACGCUAUUACACCAAUGGCGUGGGCUGUGGAGGAAAGGAGUUUCCUAUUGUGUAACUUGAGGUCUGGUUAGUGUACCACCUAGUCGUCAGCAUCACACUUUGUAACCAUAAUAUGGCAAGAAUGUGCAAGAAGCACAGGAAGUUAAAUACUGUUCCAAACACUGUUGACACUGAAGACAGUAAAACUAAUGCAAGGCAAAAUGUUCUUGUUUUACAGCAGCUUUAGAGUAGUGUUCUGUAUCAUCAGUCUAGGUCUUUAUUGAGAUUUAAACCUUAUAACUGUACUAACACAGUAGAGCUGAUGCACAUGUGUCAAAGUAGUAAAAUUAAAAAAUGCAAUAGCUGUUUUUAAUAAUUAUUAUUGUAACACUUUUAAAAAAAUUAUACAUGAAAUUUUCUACAAAACAAAAUACUGCAUACUGUACACAGGCCCUUGUGGGGUAAAAUUAAUAUUUUCUCACGACUGAAAAUAAAAGACUAAACUCACACACUGACGCUAUGAUUUGGGUGUACAAGUCAUGGAACAGUGCACAAAGAUACACACAAACACACUACACUGCUUUCUCUUUCAAAACACACACGCACAAACAUGCAGAGACAGACACAGAUGCCUUCUGUCUUUCACACAUACAUAUACAGCAGCAGGGUUCAUCUACACAGAAAUCAUUUGGGUGGUGUGAACCACAGAGCACAUGAAGGGUACAGGCCUUCUGCCCAGCACAGCACAGCACAGCACAGCAUAUAAAUAACUAACCUUUCAUUCACUCAGAGCAUCCUUUCAGUUGAGCCAUACGAUGCUGCUUCACUGAAAGUCUGAUUUCAGCCUCCAUCCCAUUAUUUCUCUUCGAUUUCCUGAAAUUUGCCAGGCUUGUUUAAUAUCUUUCUCCUGUAUUUGAUGACUGGACAUAGAUGUGGUGAUUGCUGGUGGCCAUUUUGCCAUUUUGUCCAUAACAAUCAGGCAGUAGUGGCCAAGAACAACUCUUAAGGGAUUUGUGUGUUGGUGUUUUUGUCUGUCUCACUCAACCAAACUGUGCAAAGCUCUGACUGAAUAAAUUAUACCAAGCAAUAUCUAACUAACUGACACAAUAGAAAUAAGUAAGAUACUGAAUUAAGGAGUUUCUAAAGUAAAGUUUUUGAAAGGUAACUUUUAAACUAUUUCCCACUGAUGCACAACUUUUUGUUUUAUAUUUGGAUUACAUUAGCUGAGUUUCUAAAAAUGAGUUGAUUUUCUUAAAUAAUUAACAAGUCUAACUGUGCAAACUCUACUCAAGCUAAUAUAUAUAUAUAAAAUUAUCCUGUUCAGGAGAACUGACCUAACCACACACACCACACACUACAACUAGCCUUAUAAAGGUAGAGCUUCAAGUUAGCCUGACCACUGCACCUCCAAGAUACACUGACACAACUGUAAAACUUUCAAUCAAUAAUCAAUUCAACCUUUCUACGUAAAGUGUAACUAGAAUCAAAUAAUGUGGUUUUAGUUCUGUUUACUGUGUAGUCGAUGUAUGUUUGCACUGACAGUUCCUUCCCAGCUCAUGGAUGCAGAACCAGAAGUGUUGGCUCAGCUCGGUUCCCUUCCUGUUCCCUCCCUUCCUGAGCUGGAUGGCAUGCUGCUGAACAGCUAGGUCAGGCUCAGAGCAACACUGGACCUUCAUCAAAGCAGUGGUGACGCCGGCUCCAAAUCAGUCUGCAAAACGUGAGAGCGAGACAGUAAGUUGGUCAGACACUCACUUUCCAAACACACUUAUAAAAUCAGACAGGUAAAGGUUUAUAUGUCUAGAACCAAAUCCAAAAGUUUUUAGUGGAAAGUUAACAGAAAACAUUCUCUGAGAGCCAUGAAUAAAUGACCAGUGAGGAACAAGACUUAUUGUGGUGAAAAUGUCACAACGUCAUGUGCAGAGGUUGUAUUUACUUGACAGAAAUCCCACAUCGGAAUGCAAAAGUAAGCACAGACAUGUCUGCACACACACACAUAGGAAGAAUAUCCUAAACACCCACUCAGAUCUAAGACCACAUGUAUAAAACAGUAAAACAUUGCAGGAAUGACAGAGUCAUAAUCAAGUGCCUACCACACCUCAUUGUACAUGUGGUAACAAUGUGAGUUAUUAAGAAGAUGCAUCACUUAGGAAAAAUCUGGAGCAUGAAAGCUGGAUUAACCCAUGUAGCCUAAAAGCCAAUUAAAUAAAGUGUGACCAGUCACUAGAAAAUCAAUCAUCACCUUAGAGGCCACAAAAUGUUUCUGAAAAUGUUUCUGGUUCAUUAUCAAGAUAAUGUUAAGCUUAACGAUCA